GCCUCGGUGGUCUAGCGGUUAGAACGCUGGCCUUGUAAUCCUGUGGUCUCGGGUUCGAUUCCCGGCGGUGCCC
rfam:Zootermopsis nevadensis contig22327, whole genome shotgun sequence.